rnacentral:rRNA from 1 species
UACGGGGGGGGCAAGCGUUGUUCGGAAUUACUGGGCGUAAAGGGCUCGUAGGCGGCCAACUAAGUCAGACGUGAAAUCCCUCGGCUUAACCGGGGAACUGCGUCUGAUACUGGAUGGCUCGAGUUUGGGAGAGGGAUGCGGAAUUCCAGGUGUAGCGGUGAAAUGCGUAGAUAUCUGGAGGAACACCGGUGGCGAAGGCGGCUCUCUAGUACGGUACUGACGCUGAGACGCGAAAGCGUGGGGAGCGAACAGG